AUUCAACAAGCUGUUUCUGCACUGAGAGAGUUGGGAAGGAGCAGCUGUAUCUGCCUGUGGAGCUGCAGUCGUCGGAGCGUCAGCUGCCAACUGGAUUUGCUGGAGGCAGGGAAGUACCUUCUCUGGCAGAGGAUUUCUGCGUGAGGGCAGAGAGAGGGCUUUGCCUUGCAAAUGUCAUCCAGAAGUCCAGAAAAGAUAUCGGGAGACGCCCCUGGACUCGGUGAUCCAUAAAACCUUCAUGAAAGUCAAUGACUGUUCCGGCAGGGAUUGAAGCCAUCGUUUACAUGGCAUGCCAACGGUGAUAAAUCUGUCCUGCAGAUGCGCGCAGGACUGGUGGGUGUCACGCUGCAUGCCUGCUGAAGUCUCUGUUAAGCUCAGAAAAACUUAUACUAACCUCAACCUAAAAAAAACCACAACCCAAAAUAGAAAUCAAAAAGCCACUGCUAGCUAUAAGGGAAGAAAAUCUCCUAGCUUGCAGUUUUGGAGAGGGGAGAGAGGAAGGACUCUUUCAUUUCCUAUUCCUUCUAAAUGUAUGUGUCACAUAUUUAUAGGUUAAUGGUACCUUUGAGGAAAUGCAACUCUUGCAGUGAUUAACAGAAUAUUUAUUUUCUACAAGCAGUGUUAUAAAAUCCACAUAGUUCCUGCCUCCUAAAUGAUAAUUAAUCUGCUGGUGUGCGUUGCCCAUCUCAAGACUUCCGCAGUGCAACACUGGCGUUUCUCAUUAAAAUGAAUCCUGGAGGCACUUUGUUAUUGUUUAGACUGUGAAAACCACUGGUGUUUUGGGGUUUUUUGUUUUUUGUUUUUUUUUCCCCCUCUGUAUGUUUUGUAAGUGCUAAACGCAGGAGGAAUUUUGCACGUUCUUUAAAGGACUGCACAUUAAUAAUACAUUCUCAACCACAAAAAGAAAGUCAAAUUGCUGAAUGGUAGUUGUAUAAGUUAACAGCAUUCAGGAAAAGGCACUCUCCCUUUAAUCUUUUCCUACAAAGAGAUGCCCUCAUAGUUGAGACAGUAUCAUCUAGAAGUCAACCGAUUCUUGCUUGAUGCACUGCUCUUGUGCCUUUCAACAGUGCUUCAGGGGGUUAUUUCAACAGCAUUGUAGAUGACAAGGCUUGGAUUAGUGAAACUUCAGUUCCACCUUUGUUUUUUAAACGGCUGCCUGCUGUAUGAGAGCACUUGUAUGGCUUUUUUAUGCAUCUCUGUCUCUUGCCAUAGGUAAUUAUUUAUUAAUGUAAAUGCUGCAAGGAAAUAAUAAUCUAAUAAAAUUCUAUCCUGA